rnacentral:misc_RNA from 1 species
GAAAUGCGAUAAUUAAUGUGAAUUGCAGAAUUCAGUGAAUCAUCGAGUCUUUGAACGCACAUUGCGCCCCCUGGUAUUCCGGGGGGCAUGCCUGUCCGAGCGUCAUUGCUGCCCUCAAGCACGGCUUGUGUGUUGGGCUUUCGUCCCUGGCAACGGGGACGGGCCCAAAAGGCAGUGGCGGCACCAUGUCUGGUCCUCGAGCGUAUGGGGCUUUGUCACCCGCUCCCGUAGGUCCAGCUGGCAGCUAGCCUCGCAACCAAUCUUUUUAACCAGGUUGACCUCGGAUCAGGUAGGGAUACCCGCUGAACUUAAGC